AAAGGAACAGAUUUCUAAAGGCAAGUUUUCUGCAUGACCUACUUCAACCCCUGUCCUUUGUGGCUCUUCAUUGCACCACAGGAAACAAUUAGGGCUCUAUACAUAUCUAUAACCUCUGUAUAUGUGAAAUACUGAUUUCUGAAUAAACCGAGUUACUUCCAUAAGAAACAAUCCAUGGUUUUUAUAAAUUGUUGGCUUUAGGCUUUAAAACUUCGUCAUUUCGUGAGAUUAAUCUGAACAAACUGAGUCUAUACCUCAAUUAAACCCUCAGGUGUAUUGGAAAUUAUGUUUCCAUUAUUUUACUAUGAAUGCUGAGGUUAAGAAUCCCUUUAACAAUGUAAAACCUUACUGUUUUGCCAAAUUUUUACAGAAAAAUAGCUCUGUGUGUUCUACCAGUGUCAAAAUAAAACACUUGAAGGUAGAGUGCCUAAUUUAAUUAUAAAAGGUAAACCUAAACCUACAGGUGAAGAAUGAUAUAACAUUCUUAAAGAUUUAUCAUAGGAAGCCUUGGCAGAAUGUAGGGGGAGACAUUGUUUCUUUUUGUUGGAUGUGAGUCCAAAUUAUAUUUAAAUGGCAUUAUACUGUAAUUGGUUAUAAAAAUUAGCCAGCUCUUUCCCUUCAGUUUGACUGUAUUGAUACAACUUUUAAAGUGAUAACUUUAUUCAUAUUAUAAGCUUUGCCUAAACUACACUCCCUGUCAGUGAGUGCUGUGUCCUAUACUACCUUAUUCAAUCCUCACAUCAAAUAUAUGAGGUAAAGGAUGUCACCCUCACUUUGCAAUUGAAGAAACUGAGGCAGCACUUUUGGAAGGAAAAGCCAUUUGUAAUUAUCUACUUUAAGUUUCUACUGCUAAAAUAUUUUACUAGUUUUGAGCCAGGUGUAGUGGCUCAUUCCUGUAAUCCCAGCACUUUGGGAGAUGAAGGUGGGAGUAUCACUUGAACACAGGAGUUCUAGACUAGCCUAGGCAACAUAGCAAGGCCUACAUCUCAACAAAAAAUAAAGUAAUUAGCAAGGCGUGGUAGUGUGCACCUGUAGUCUUAGGUACUUGGGAGACUGAGGCAGGAGGAUUGCUUGAGCCCAGGAGUUCAAGGAUGCGGUGAGCUAUGCUCAUGCCACUGAACUCCAGCCUGGACAACAGAGCAAAAUCCCACCUCAAGAAAAAAUGUUUACGAUUUUUACUAUAAUUUUAUUAUAAAGUUACUGAUUGUUAGAAAUACUAGGGUAUAAAAAAUAUUUUGCAUUCAAGAAACUGAAAUAUUUAAUGUUGUCUAGAAUGCAUACAUAUAUGAGAAUGGUAAAAGAGACUGGAGAAAUUCAAAUUAUGAAUGUCAUAUUUUAUUCAGCAUGCUUGGGCAUUUGUUCUUUUAUCCAUAGUGCUGUGGCAUCAUUAAAAAAUUUUUAAGCUUGUCAUUGACAUGAUUAGAUUGUAUUUUAAGUCUAAUGGAAAGAAUUGGGCUGGGACAUGACUUCAAGCUCCAAUUCCUUCACUAAAUAAGCAAAGAGGUUUUGUUUGUUUGUUUUUAACUGUUUUAUAUUUUUAAAUAAAUUGUGAUACAUAUGAAAUAAUAUAUACACACACACACGUAUAUGUAACAUUAAGUUAUAAAGCAUAGUGAUAUAAUGAACAAUUAAGAACUCAAGCACCAGUAUUUCUAACUUCCAUUUACCUAUGUUUUCCCUUGUGCCAUUCCCCUUCUUCCCCUGACAGUUAUUUUCCUGAAUUAUGCUUUUUUAGAUUAUAGUGUUAUAUAUAUGUUUUCAUAAACUAUAUAUGAUUUAGUUUUGCUUUAUUUUGAGCUGUGUGUUGUUUUCUUGGGACUUGCUUUCUAAAGUCACAUUUUGUUUCUAGGGUUUAUAUAUAUUGUCAUAUCACUGUAGCUAUAGUUUAUUCUAUUUCACUGCUGAAUAAUAUCUGUGAUAUACUACAGUUUAUCUGGUUUCCUGCUAAUGAAACACUUUGGUUAUUUCUAGUUUUUCCUAUUGCAAAUAAUGCUACUACACACAUUCUUGUGCAAGUACAAGCUCCUCUAGGAAACAUCCCUAGGAGUCACAUUGCUGAGUUGUUGAGUAUGAGAAUAUUCACCUUUACAGGAUAAUGCCAAAUUGUUUUUCAAAGUGGACAUACAAAGGAAUAUUUCCAUCAUUAAUGUAUAAGCGCUCCAUUGAUCCAUAAUCUCUCCUACCUUGGUAUUAUCAAAUGUCUGAUUUUUGCCAACCUAGUAUUUUAAAAUGGUGUCUCAUUGUCAUCUUCAUUUACUUUUCUCUAAUUACUAAUAGGAUUGAUAAUUACAUUGUUUAUUUGGCCAUAUACGUGUCCUAUUCUGUGAAAUAUCUAUGCCCAUUUUUCUGUGUUUUAUCUUAAUUGAUUUGUAGAAAUUCUUUGUAUAUUCUAGAAUAUAGAUAAUGUUGCAAAAUAUCUUCUUGCAGUUUGUGGUUCAUCUUUUCAAUUUCUUUUCUUUUGAGGAAAAAAAACUUUUAGUGUGGAAUUUAUCACUAUGUUUGUGUCUUGUUUGAAUCCUUCUCUUCUGCAAGAUACUAUGUGGCUAAUGAUUUGCCUGAGGUUUUUUGUAUUUUCUGUGUAAGUAAUGCCAAUUGCAUUUCUUUCCAGUUCUUAUCCUU
rnacentral:lncRNA from 1 species